CGAGCUGACCGGGUAGCCGCGGAGGAAUCUCUGAGGAAGGUCGGGGCUCCACAGGGCAGGAUGCUAGCUAGCGGCUAGUCGAGGUGACUCGCAGGAAAGUGCAACAGAGAACAGACCGCCAGCUAUAAAAGCUGGUAAGGGUGAAACGGUGUGGUAAGAGCACACCAGCAGAGGAGGUAACUCCCCUGGCUCGGCAAACCCCAUCCGGAGCAAGGUCAAGACGAGGCAUGAGCGGCCCGCUCGUAACCUUAGGUUACAGCCUCAGGUGGACUGCAUAGAUGGAUGGCUACCCAGGUCGUAGACCGGACAGAACCCCGCCUAUAGGUCAGCUCGAACA
rnacentral:RNase_P_RNA from 2 species